UAGGACCUUUCUAUUUGCAAGUCAAUUUUUAAAGAAUUUAAACCGGUGUUUAGGUAGAAGUAGAAAUUAUAGUGAUUCAGACAGUCAUUGGACUCUUUCUCUCUCCAACUCCUCUGUCCGGCCUGGAAUACUCUGACAGCCCCAGACUCUCAUCCCAGCAGCUUUAUAUCUCCAGGACAAACAGAAACAGAUACUUCUCCCCUGAUCCCAGAGAUUGGCAGAGCAC